UGUAGAGAUGGGGUCUUACUAUGUUGUCCAGGCUGGUCUUGAACUCCUGGCCUCAAACAAUUCUCCUGCCUCGGCCUCCAAAAGUGCUGGGAUUACAGGCAUGAACCACCUCGUCCGGCCUCUCCCUGAGUAACUUCAGUCACUGGUUUCACGCUCACAGUAUUAGCGUACCCAGUCAUUGACGCCAGGCAUAGCGUCCACACUCAUGGCUGCAGUCCGGGCAUACAGCAAGGGCUCACCACAGAACGAACGCAGUGGAGCUGGGAGAAUACCGGAGGUCUGAGAGGAACCUAAGCAGUUCCCGCCCCUCCUCUAUCACAUGGCAGUCGGGUAAAGUGAGGCUGUGCGCGUGCUCUACG
rnacentral:lncRNA from 10 species